rnacentral:lncRNA from 1 species
UCGGGAGUCUAUCGGAAACAGUUUCUCGACUUUAUCUGAGGUAGUGAUAUGGACUGCGUACACUUUAUCCUUUUCAGAUCUCAAUUUGUGCGAAUACAUUGAAUAUAUUAUUGUUGUUGUACCGCUCCUCCAUGAGUACAACAAAAUAUUUGCUUGCUCAAACUUAAAACAUCCAAGUUAGUAUUCACUAUAUAUUUGAAGCAUGCUAAGUUCAUAUGACAUAGAUAUAUCUU